UGGAGACAUUAAAAUGUCCUUGCACACUGACUGCCUCCCUGCUUUUCUUCAUUCCUUCUCAAAAGAAUAUAGCUGUUCACAUAACAGUGUGCUGCUAUUGAAGGAGGAAAUGGAAUUUUCAAGGCAUCCCUUCAAAUACUAAGUAUGUCAAAGAAAUAACUCAAUAAAUAUCCAAAAUGGCAUGAACUGCACUCUUACAGUUGCUAUCUAUUUUCAUCCAUUUAUUGAUUCUCCAUUAUAGUAAAGUGUUGCAUCAACACGCAAUCAUGUUAAUACAUCUUACCUAUUGUGAGUCACGGCUCAUUCAGCUGAUAAAUAUGUAGAUUAAAAUGUUUUAUAGUUGAUGGCCAACAUUAAUCUCAUUUGGAUGUCUUAAACCAAAUUAAAUGAGAAUGUGUGGCAGUUUGGAAAGAGUGCCGUGAAUUCAUCUCUGAAUUAAAAAGGAAAUGAACAAGGGACGGGACUUCUUUUUUUUUUAUUACAAAUGUUAAUGAAAAAUGUUAUUGACUUGAACAAAUGGAGAAUACACCUGGAAAUGUAUAUUAAAACCCUUUUCCAAUUGCUUUCUCUGUGUAGUUUGCAAUUAUAGUUAUUUCAGCAAUAGUGGGGGGAUUAAUUUUGCGUGCAGACUGAUAAUGUUAGGAGCGUAAGAAGAAUGGAUAUUGUGUUGGAUAGGGGGUCUCUAGGUAUUUACAAGGAGUGGAGAGAGCAAAGCUUUAUUUAAUUGAGAGAAUGAAUCAAUAACAGCUGUAGCGUCCUGUCAGACAAGGCCUUGCAAAAUGAGCAGGUAAUUUACUGGACAAUCAGAGGCAGUGGACGGCUGAUUGAAGGAGUGUAUUUUGGGUGUAAAAUGCAGGUUGGAGAUCUUGAAAACAGAAAAAAAAAAUCUGAGGACAAGCGUUUCCAGGGAUGCUAGCUUCAGUGACAGAAACUCUUAUUGUUUCUUUGUCACUCUUUGUAUCUCAAAGCCUUUGAAUCCAUAAUUAAGAAUGAGAACUUUCAGACGUGACGUGAUCCAGAAAAGUUCCAAAAGUUUGUGAUUUAUUUCAUGUAAUUUUUUAUCUUCAUGUUGAAACUCCUUGACUCUUCUGUGCAUCAGUUGAGGCAGAAUUUUCUUUUUCCUCACUGGUUACAAUCCAGUUUUUCAUUGCUGCUGGAUGUUGGUAAAUGUUUCCCCAGAUCUCACUUAUGCAUCAUUGCUCCCACGCCAUUGCAAAGAUCUUUUUUUUUUUUUUUUUCAAGAAUCAAUCUUUAAGGUAAAUUAGUCUCCCUGCACACUGGCAGCCAUCCCAGUAUGUAAAUUCAUGUGCUAAUUCACAACAUGAUUUCAUUUCAACUUCCAAGCAAAUGAGAUUUUAAUUGAAAAUGGGAUCUUCCAUAGAGUUUCUCACUGGAGAUGUGCAGCAGGGGAAUGAUACUUUCCAGCGAUUGUUUUGAGAGACAAGGAGACUUUUUUCUUCUUCCAAGCCAUUUACAAAAAGAUUGUGUGUUUUUUUCAUCACAGCAUUUCCCCAUAACCUGCAGGUUAGUGAAAAGACUCUGUGAAAUUAACAUUUUGCUUCAGCUCCUUGUCCGUGUGUGUGUGAGGAGGCGGGCUAUUAACAUUUGUGUAUUUUCAUUAUGUUAAUGGUGUUAACACAUGCCCACAGAUUGCCACCAGUGGUGCAGUAAUUUUGUCUCGCUGAUCAUAAAGUGUCCGAGUGGGUCAUUUUGAUUAUGACAGGCUAAUUACAUAUUGCCAUUCCCCUUGUGUAUCCCCUCCAAAAAAAAAGAAAACCUCAGACCUCCAAUCUUUAAUGGUAAGCUUUUAUGAGUUGGAGGAAAGAAAAUAGCAGGAAAAGAUCUCUGCCUCUAUUCCUGACGGCUAUGCUGCACGCAUGCUUCACUGCUUCCCUUUAAACUUCCUAAAUUGUGUUUCACAAUAAAUAGAUGCCCAAGCCUUUAACUGCCAGUAUUAGAUUAGAUACCAUUAGAUGUAAUAGAAAAUUCUCCCCCUGUAAUAUUUUCAUAAGAGUUUGAGGCAUUUGAUUAAUCUGACCACAUUUUAUUGCAUUAAUGAUUUUUUUCUUCCCACUCUGCUGUAAAGACAUUGUAUACGGGCUAAUGCUGUUUUCUCUCUCCCCUCCUCUACUCGCUCUCAUUCAUCCUCAGCCGUUAUUGCAAUGCAUUGUUGAUGAGGUGAGUCGGCGUCUUAUGUGCUUUCACUCCUAAAGUCAUUCUUAAUGGAGUGGAAACCUUAUAUUUUGUUUCCUAAUGAAGCACAGGAGUGGCAGACAGCUCCGCUCAGGCUGUCCUGUGGCUGCCUGCAG
rnacentral:lncRNA from 1 species